rnacentral:rRNA from 1 species
AGUGAACGCUGGCGGUAGGCCUAACACAUGCAAGUCGAACGGCAGCACAGUAAGCGCUUGCUCUUACGGGUGGCGCGUGGCGGACGGGUGAGGACUACAUCGGAAUCUACUUUUUCGUGGGGGAUAACGUAGGGAACCUUACGCUAAUACCGCAUACGACCUACGGGUGAAAGCAGGGGAUCUUCGGACCUUGCGCGUUUGAAUGGGCCGAUGUCGGAUUAGCUAGUUGGCGGGGUAAAGGCCCACCAAGGCGACGAUCCGUAGCUGGUCUGAGAGGAUGAUCAGCCACACGGGAACUGAGACACGGUCCAGACUCCGACGGGAGGCAGCAGUGGGGAAUAUUGGACGAUGGGCGCAAGCCGGAUCCAGCCAUACCGCGUGAGUGAAGAAGGCCUUCGGGUUGUAAAGCCCUGUUGUUGGGAAAGAAAAGCAGCAGGUUAAUACCCCGCUGUUCUGACGGUACCCAAAGAAUAAGCACCGGCUAACUUCGUG